GCAUGAGCUGUCUGGACGUGAAGGGGUUUCUACUUUGCAUAACAGAGGUCCCCAACACUGAUCUGUAGUGUGCUAUGCCAACUGGGUGUAUGCACCAAGCCCUGCAUCGAUAUGGUCAUCUCUCAGGGCCAGGGAACCACCAGGUUGCCUAAGAAGGGGUGAGCUAGUCCAGGUUGGAAUGGAGCAGGUCAAAGCUCCAGUGCCAGUCAGUAGUGUGAUCACACCUGUGAAUAGUCACUGUACUCCAGCCUGGCCAACAUAGUGAGA
rnacentral:SRP_RNA from 1 species